AUUCCGUAGUUUACCAACAAUAGCUGGUGGGAUUAUUUUUUAAUCUAAAAUUAAGGUACCAACAUGACAAUCUUUUUUCUUUUUUUAAAUCUCAAACAUUUUCCAAACAUUAGCUACAGAUUUGAGCGCGGUAAUAUUAAUUCCGCAAAAACGGAUCGGAAUCAGUUAUGACGUAGACAGUAAUCUUUCUAAUCGUAAUCAUGUUCAUUGCCCAAAACAACGAUGAAAGCACAUCAUAUAAUGACGUUUCGACAUCAUAAAAUGAAGUUAACCAAAGAAUAAGAUUACAAGCACAUAAUAUAAUG
rnacentral:lncRNA from 1 species